UUAAAUUGUGCAGCUGUAACAAAGUUCCAAGUGUCAAAUUAGCAUUUCUGUUUUAUUUCUAAUUCCAGUUCCUGCAUUUUACAUUAUAACUGCAUGAAGGUGCUAUUCAGAAAAGCAGAGCCCAGAUGUUGCUGUUGAUUGUAUUGUGUACUGUUGUGCAGAAGGAAAAUAAUACCUGAUUUAUGAUAGAAAGCACUGGAGAUAAAUGCAAGCACCAGAACUGGAUUUAAAUGAUGUUGCUACAAGUGAAAUGUGUUUUCCCUUUCCCUAACCCCUCUAUUCCCUAAACCCCCUGUAAGGCUUCUAGUGCAAUAUUCUGCAGUCCCUGUACAACCCAACUUCCCUUAAGUCUGAGAGAGAUUUAUAGUUAUGUUACUUCUAUCACUCAGAGCAUCAUAAAAACUGUCUUCCAGCAAAACAAAGGUUGCUGUGUCUCAAAGAAAAGCACAUAUUCUGAGCACAGUUCCAGGUAGAAGCUCAGAUGCUGUGGAUUCCCAGAACUGCCUCUCUGUUUUGGCCCAUGUUGCCUCUUAGAAUCACAGGAUACUUUAACUUUCAAAGAUUUCCAGAGGCCUCUAGUCCAAGUCUGUGCUUCAAUCAGUGCCAGCCUUCAGUUCAGUCAGUUUGCUCAGGACCUUGUGCAGCAAGAUUUAAGGAGAUCCCAUGGAUUGCCUGGGAGCCUGUCUGAGUUUCACCAGCCUUGUCUCUCAUCAGAAUUUCCUGUACCCCAACCUUGCCUUUAACUUGCUGAACAGUUGCAGCAGUGAUGGAAGCACCUUCUUCUCACACCAUAAUGUGAGAGCUCUGAAUUGUUACUCUUGGGAGAUGAGAGAAGAGCACUAGAGACAGCACCACUUACCCAUUUCUUCUAAGCUGAGGAUUUUGCUGUGUAGGAGAAAACAGAAACCUGCUGAGUUCACCCUGUAGUAACUUUGUGGAUGAGGAUGAGCCCUGCCCACCUUCGCUCCUCACAGCAGUGGUUCAGCCAAGCAGUUGGAGCCCUGACAAUCCAGUGCUCCCAGCCAG